rnacentral:rRNA from 1 species
UGCCAGAGCCACAGCUACCUGCAGUUCUCACCUGGUUUCCCACUGAAACAAAGCAGGAUUGAGCCUGGCUAGUACAUGGAUGGGAGACCUCCUGGGGAAAACUACGGUUGCUGUUGGAA